CCCUUAGAUGUCCUGGGCCGCACGCGCGCUACACUGAGUGUCUGAGAUACGAGUCUGCCUGGUCCGGCAAGGUCUAGGUAAUCGCUAAAAGACACAUCAUGCUUGGGAUAGAUUAUUGCAAAUAUUAAUCUUGAACGAGGAACUCCUAGUAAGCGCAAGUCAACAGCUUGCGUUGAUUACGUCCCUGCCCUUUGUACACACCGCCCGUCGCUACUACUGAUUGGAUGUUUAAGCGAGGUUCUCGAACUGCUAGCGACUUAGCUUCGGUGAGGUCGCAGUGUGGGAAGUGAACCUAGCUUUGGUGUCUAGAGGAAGUAAAAGUCGUAACA
rnacentral:rRNA from 1 species